ACGACUCUCGGCAACGGAUAUCUCGGCUCUCGCAUCGAUGAAGAACGUAGCGAAAUGCGAUACUUGGUGUGAAUUGCAGAAUCCCGUGAACCAUCGAGUCUUUGAACGCAAGUUGCGCCCGAGGCCUAUUGGUCGAGGGCACGUCCGCCUGGGUGUCACGC
rnacentral:rRNA from 1 species